AGUGAACGCUGGCGGUAGGCCUAACACAUGCAAGUCGAACGGCAGCACAGUAAGAGCUUGCUCUUACGGGUGGCGAGUGGCGGACGAGUGAGGAAUACAUCGGAAUCUACUUUUUCGUGGGGGAUAACGUAGGGAAACUUACGCUAAUACCGCAUACGACCUACGGGUGAAAGCAGGGGAUCUUCGGACCUUGCGCGAUUGAAUGAGCCGAUGUCGGAUUAGCUAGUUGGCGGGGUAAAGGCCCACCAAGGCGACGAUCCGUAGCUGGUCUGAGAGGAUGAUCAGCCACACUGGAACGGAGACACGGUCCAGACUCCUACGGGAGGCAGCAGUGGGGAAUAUUGGACAAUGGGCGCAAGCCUGAUCCAGCCAUACCGCGUGGGUGAAGAAGGCCUUCGGGUUGUAAAGCCCUUUUGUUGGGAAAGAAAAGCAGCAGGUUAAUACCCCGCUGUUCUGACGGUACCCAAAGAAUAAGCACCGGCUAACUUCGUG
rnacentral:rRNA from 1 species